rnacentral:tRNA from 1 species
GGAAAGGUGCUCGAGUGGUUGAAGAGGCACGCCUGGACAGCGUGUAAACGUAAAAAGCGUUUCAGGGGUUCGAAUCCCCUUCUUUCCGCCA